UGGGGAAUCUUGCACAAUGGGCGAAAGCCUGAUGCAGCAAUGCCGCGUGAGUGAUGAAGGCCUUCGGGUUGUAAAUCUCUGUCGGCUGGGAAAAAUGUCUUUUCAUCUAACAAAUGAAGAGAGUGAUGGUACCAGCAAAGGAAGAGGCGGCUAACUCUGUGCCAGCAGCCGCGGUAAUACAGAGGCCUCGAGCGUUGUUCGGAAUUACUGGGCGUAAAGGGAAUGUAGGUGGUGACGUAAGUCAGAUGUGAAAGCCCUGGGCUUAACCCGGGAAGUGCAUUUGAUACUGCGUUGCUGGAGUACGAGAGAGGAAAGCGGAAUUCCCAGUGUAGGAGUGAAAUCCGUAGAUAUUGGGAGGAAUACCGAUGGCGAAGGCAGCUUUCUGGCUCGUAACUGACACUGAGAUUCGAAAGCGUGGGUAGCAAACAG
rnacentral:rRNA from 1 species